GAUGCAUAAGCCAAGGGUGGUGGCACAGUGCUGUAAUCUCAGCACUUACAAAGUGGAGGCAGGAGGAUUCCCAAGUUAAAGGUCCUCCUCAGCUACACAGCGAGGUGAAGGGCAACCUGGGUUACACAAAACCCUGUGUCAAAAACAACAAAACAAAAAGAAGUAAAGUAGUGAUGAUGACUUCUUUAUCCCCCAUCAGGUGGACAUCCCUUGUGCUGUACGUUAAACACACGAGGUUUCUGGCACAAUGUUCCUCCUAUCCCAGGUCCUGGUACCACAAGAGCAUACUGGGUAGAAGGCAAGGGGUGGAACCCAGUGACCGUUUUUUGUAUAUGAUCCCUCCCAAUCGUUCCCCAGACUCAGUGAGGUCGAUAAUAUUUGUAUCCUCUUGGGGAUGACCAGCUAUGACAUAAACUAGUUAUGCAAACCCCAGGUGCAGGCCUUGGCUUCAGGAGUCCCUAAUCUCGGUAUCAGCUC
rnacentral:lncRNA from 1 species